rnacentral:rRNA from 1 species
CAGAACUCAAAAACUUAGUCUCAGUUCGGAUUGUAGGCUGAAACUCGCCUACAUGAAGCUGGAGUUGCUAGUAAUCGCGAAUCAGCAUGUCGCGGUGAAUACGUUCCCGGGCCUUGUACACACCGCCCGUCACACCAUGAGAGUUGGCAAUACCCAACGUACGUGAUCUAACCCGCAAGGGAGGAAGCGUCCUAAGGUAGGGUCAGCGAUUGGGGUGAAGUCGUAACAAGGUACC